rnacentral:rRNA from 1 species
GUGCCAGCAGCCGCGGUAAUACAUAGGGAGCAAGCGUUAUCCGGAUUUAUUGGGUGUAAAGGGUGCGUAGACGGGAAAGCAAGUUAGUUGUGAAAUCCCUCGGCUCAACUGAGGAACUGCAACUAAAACUAUUUUUCUUGAGUGCAGGAGAGGUAAGUGGAAUUCCUAGUGUAGCGGUGAAAUGCGUAGAUAUUAGGAGGAACACCAGUGGCGAAGGCGACUUACUGGACUGUAACUGACGUUGAGGCACGAAAGUGUGGGGAGCAAACAGGAUUAGAUACCCUGGUAGUCCACACCGUAAACGAUGAAUACUAGGUGUAGAAGGUAUUAAGCCUACUGUGCCGAAAGCAAACGCAAUAAGUAUUCCACCUGGGGAGUACGACCGCAAGGUUGAAACUCAAAGGAAUUGACGGGGGCCCGCACAAGCAGUGGAGUAUGUGGUUUAAUUCGAAGCAACGCGAAGAAUCUUACCAGGGCUUGACAUGCAAGUGAAUACACAAGAGAUUGUGUAGCUCUUCGGAGCACUUGUGCAGGUGGUGCAUGGUUGUCGUCAGCUCGUGUCGUGAGAUGUUGGGUUAAGUCCCGCAACGAGCGCAACCCCUGUGAUUAGUUGCUAACAAGUAAAGUUGAGAACUCUAAUCAGACUGCCGUUGAUAAAACGGAGGAAGGUGGGGACGACGUCAAAUCAUCAUGCCCUAUAUGUCCUGGGCUACACACGUACUACAAUGGCCGUAACAGAGGGAAGCGAUGUGGUGACACGGAGCAAAACCUAGAAAAGCGGUCUCAGUUCGGAUUGAAGGCUGAAAUUCGCCUUCAUGAAGCCGGAAUUGCUAGUAAUGGCAGGUCAGCAUACUGCCGUGAAUACGUUCCCGGGCCUUGUACACACCGCCCGU